GAGAUUACAUGAAAUUGUUAACAUAGCAAGAAAAAUAAGAAUGGGUACAUGAAACAUGAAUUAAUCAGUUAGACUAUUUUAUCUACUUCUGUUGUCCCCCUUGUCUAUAAAGACGUAAAAAGACUACUCCCUGUGGAUAACUGUGCGAAAGCGCAUCGGCUAUCCUAGGACAACUAUAGUGAGGUACGACUGUGGUCAUAGUCUUUAGGACCAUAGUGGUUGGCACGACCAUGGUCAUAUAU
rnacentral:lncRNA from 1 species